GUGGCCUCCCCUCUCUUUGGGUUUGGGCCAGAAUGGCGCAAUCGAGGUUCAUAAAAAGGUUAAAAGUAAUAAUACAAGGGACUUUUCCUUCUUUUUUACGGAAUGGCACUUUAUUGAGGUUGAGGAAUGCACACGGUCCCCAUAUGGUACUUAUUCUUCUUUUUGAGGGUGUUUGGAAAUAUAUUGACGCAGAAUUGUAUUUCCGUUCAUUAUUUCUGAGGUAAGAGAAUGUGAAGGGGAUUUUUGAGUGAACAUCAGCCAGUGUUUGCAAUGUUUGCCUCGGCUUCGUGUGUGGAAAGGGCCACCUACAGCCCUCCAGCAUCUCCGAGCUUGCAAGUUCGUCGGCAGUAAGAUCGAUAAUCCUUUCUCUCAGUAGAUCUACAUUUUUUUUAUUCAGAUUUCAGAUUUUCAGGUUCUGCGCCUCCCUUAGGCAAAGUUACAGAUUUUGCGAUGUCUCGGCUUGGAUUCCUGGUCGCAGCCAAAAGAAAUAUAUCCUCUCCGUCCAGGUAAGCGGUUAUAUAUAUAUCCACCUCUAAGAGUUGCGACUGUGAUCUUAUUGAAUUUACUUCAAACUGAUAUUUACACAAAAUGAACUGCAUUCUGAUAUACGGAUUUUCUCAUAUGCUUACCCUACUUACCAACUACUUACCGACUUCCAAAGAGUUCCUUUUUAGGAUUUCAUUCGCCAACAGCUCAUAGGAUCUGAGCCACUCCCAAAUCUGCGCCGAGAUACACCCCGCUGAAUGAAAGCCAACGCCCGCGGCACUGGAGCUUCACAUCGAUGUCUCCUGCGGUCAAGGCGAAAGGGCGAGACCGCUGUGGGUGGCGUCAGAAAAUCUUGCUGACACUGACCUUGAUGGUGACCUGUGCUGACCGUUGACCCGAACUGAGAUGGAGACGAUUUCCUGAGGUGCGCAUUCAGUCGUCAGCACGGAGGCGCAGAGGCAGUCACGGGGCGGGAAGUCCUCUGCGAAACGAAGACCCAGUCAGGGAACGUCAAGUGAUGUCACAGAUGUCCCGAGAAGGUCAUC